UACGGGGGGGGUAAGCGUUGUUCGGAAUUACUGGGCGUAAAGGGCUCGUAGGCGGCCAACUAAGUCAGACGUGAAAUCCCUCAGCUUAACUGGGGAACUGCGUCUGAUACCGGAUGGCUUGGAUUCGGGAGAGGAAUGCGGAAUUCCAGGUGUAGCGGUGAAAUGCGCAGAUAUCGGGAAGAACACCCGUGGCGAAGGCGGCUCUCUGGGACGGUACUGACGCUGAGACGCGAAAGCGUGGGUAGCAAACAGG
rnacentral:rRNA from 1 species